rfam:Gossypium raimondii chromosome 11, whole genome shotgun sequence.
UCUCGGUGAUGACGGAAUACGAUGACGAGUCCGACUUCCAUUCUUUCAAAUCGUGACGACAAAUCGAGGCAUUUGUCUGAGAGAA